rnacentral:tRNA from 1 species
UCCCUGGAGGACUAGUGGUUAGGCCACAGCGCUCUCACUACUGUGGCUUGGGUUCAAUUCCCAGCCAGAGAA